AGCAGCGUGGCUCAGUGGAAAGAGCCCGGGCUUGGGAGUCAGAGGUCAUGGGUUCUAAUCCCUGCUCUGCUG
rnacentral:tRNA from 1 species